AACGAACGCUGGCGGCAGGCUUAACACAUGCAAGUCGAACGAGAUCUUCGGAUCUAGUGGCAGACGGGUGAGGAACACGUGGGAACAUCCCUUUCAGUUCGGAAUAACGUUGGGAAACUAACGCUAAUACCGGAUACGUCCUUCGGGAGAAAGAUUUAUCGCUGAAAGAUUGGCCCGCGUCUGAUUAGCUAGUUGGUGAGGUAAUGGCUCACCAAGGCUACGAUCAGUAGCUGAUCUGAGAGGAUGAUCAGCCACAUUGGGACUGAGACACGGCCCAAACUCCUACGGGAGGCAGCAGUGGGGAAUAUUGGACAAUGGGCGCAAGCCUGAUCCAGCCAUGCCGCGUAAGUGAUGACGGCCUUCGGGUUGUAAAGCUCUUUUGUCCGGGAAGAUAAUGACUGUACCGGAAGAAUAAGCCCCGGCAAACUUCGUGCCAGCCGCCGCAGUAU
rnacentral:rRNA from 1 species